AUUUGUUGGAGGGAUCCACUUUUCCAAAGCUGGUGGCAGCCGUGAGUCAAAGCUGAUGAAGUAUAGGAAAUUCUGGAGCUUUUCUUGAAAGGGAGGAAGAAAGCGAUAUCGCAGAGCGAUGUGUUUAAUGUAAAAAUUAGAAACCAACAAUAAAAAAACCUUUUUUUUUUAUUAACUGUAAAAUCCAAAAACUAGAAACAUCCCGAGCGGGCCUAAGAUUUUAGGUUUUUAAAAAAAAUGUCUUAUCGGGUACCAUACCUAUGCAUCUUAGAUGUCGGAGGCAUUAUCUAACAGGGAGGCAAACUAUUCAAAAUUAUGAUCUUUUUUAUUUAUAGACGAUUGAUUAAAAGAUUUAUUUUUAAUGCCAAAAGAAUGGUAACAAGCCUUCUACCUACUCAGCAGCUCUUCAGCUUAGUUCCUGUUGAAGGUUAAGAAAUAAAAUACAUAUGAUGUUUGCCACCUCAUUUGAUAAUAUGUGCUGAGCUCUCAGAGGUGCUCUUGCAAGCAUAACUCAUUACUCAGGUUGAUAGGUGUUUGCUAACAAAUUCACAUUCCAUUUCAGACAUAUCUGCCUUCUGGUUGCUAAAUUAUUUUUGAAAACAUGAUGUAUUGUCUGUCUUGACCAUUUUGUGUUGGUCGCGACCAUUUUGUGUUUCUUAUAUUAUUAUGUCUUGUUUUAUUUGCAUAGUUCUUUUCAACUUUUUCCUGAAAUUAUGCAAUAGUCAAGUCAUUUGGUAUCGUUUCUUGGCAA